UGGGGAAUAUUGGACAAUGGGGGCAACCCUGAUCCAGCAAUGCCGCGUGUGUGAAGAAGGCCUUCGGGUUGUAAAGCACUUUAGGCUGGGAGGAAGGUGUGCAGUUUAAGAGACAGUACACUUGACUGUACCGGCAGAAUAAGCACCGGCUAACUCUGUGCCAGCAGCCGCGGUAAUACAGAGGGUGCAAGCGUUAAUCGGAGUUACUGGGCGUAAAGGGCGCGUAGGCGGUUAUUUAAGUUAGAUGUGAAAUCCCUGGGCUUAACCUAGGAACUGCAUCUAAUACUGGGUAACUGGAGUAUUGUAGAGGGUAGUGGAAUUUCCGGUGUAGCGGUGAAAUGCGUAGAGAUCGGAAGGAACACCAGUGGCGAAGGCGGCUACCUGGACAAAUACUGACGCUGAGGCGCGAGAGCGUGGGGAGCAAACAGGAUUAGAUACCCCGGUAGUCC
rnacentral:rRNA from 1 species